rnacentral:lncRNA from 1 species
CCAGGGGACAUGGUUGGGGGUGAUACAAAGUGGACUCUCUUUGACCUGGCUGAUGGAAAUGCUAUUUGCUAGGGCUGUUCUGGACACUUAAUCUUCCAAUAGCUAUCUGACCCAGCAGCUACUUCCUGUCAUUUUCCUAUGGAAAUAAAAGCAGCUGUAGAAAAGAUAUAUAUUCAAAAAUUCUUAUUGCAAUAUUUUUUCCAGUGGCCCAAAUACCCAUUUAAUAACAGUUAAAUAGAUGUGUUACAUGCCUUAAGUAUUGUUUAAAAACAAAAUCCAACUGAGUAAAUGUGAGGACCUGAUGGCUUUAUUCAGGGAUGCAUGAAUCCGGCAGCAUUCCACUUAAUGAAGAGAAAAGAGCGCUGAGAAGUGGCACAAAAUGGAAGGAGAAAGGAGGGUGGGGCAAGAAAGUCAUUAGCCAAAAAAAAAAAAAAAGGAAGGGAAGGGUUACCUUGGGCCAGGAUAUCUUUGGUCUGGGGCAGCAACUGCCACGGGUUUUAUCUUGCAGAUUGCCUCUUCCUCUGAGGAGUAGACUGGGAAUGACCCAGAUUACUUCAUCGGUGCUAACCAGAAAAAUCUAAACUGGUUGAUUAAGACUAUACUUGGGGGUAAGGUCAAAACAGCAAUUAAGUUAGGUAUUAAGUCUAGGUUUGGCGUCACAAGCUUUUAGUUCACGUGAUGCCCUUUUGGACCUGUGGGCAUCAGGUGAUUUCGCUUUAGCAGUACUAUGCAGCUAUUUUCUUAAAGGAAUUCAAUUUCUUGAUGUGAAGAGGUCUGUCUCUGUAACGUAUUUUUACGAAUGACAGAAUUUCAUUAAAAAUGAAAUGAGGCUGAGGGAGAGUGAAAGAAAGAAUGAAAAUUAGGUGAAUGUAUUGUGCUAAGCACUUCACACACUUAGUCGAAACUACCUAUAAGGUAGGUCCUAUUAUUCCCAUUUUGCUAAUGAGGAAACAGAGGCAGAGACGGUGAAUAGCCUGUUAAAGUCCCACAGGUGGUAAGGAGUGGCAUAGGGAUUCAAAGUCUGACUUUCUGGAUCUAGAAUUUGUGCCCUUGAACAUUAUGGGCCCUCCUUCUGAUGCAUAUCUGUAAAUGAUUAGGUAACUUUAGUAAACAAUUUGUAAGUAGCACACCAGGGAGGGAACAUGGGUUCCUUGCUUGGCAGGGUGUAGAUGGAAAGGAAAAGGGGAGAUGGGGGGAAAUCUGUAGAACACCGACAGCAGGUGUUUGGUGUAAUUUAUUGAGUUUUAUUAUCUCAUCAUACAGUAAAAAUAUAAAUAUGGUUAAAUAGAAUGGACCAAAGAAAGAAGGAAUAGGAACGAAAAUGACAAAUUUUAUUUCAAUUUUUUACUCAAAAGUUGUUACUUUGUGUCUGAACUAAAGUUAUUUAUUUGUAUAUUUAACUAUUUUUUAAAGUCUAAGGAUACCCCAUGUUGUUUAAAAAACAUGAGAAAUAUAUGUACGGGCUUGAUCUUAGCAACUUAAAUAAGCAAAAAGUCAUAAUAAAUAUCAACUUAUUUUCAGCUUACUAAAAUGAACUGUUUUAACGGUUCCCAUAUCAUUAUCUGGGUAAGUAAUCUGAUUCUUAGAAAAGGAACACACCUUCUCAAUAGGAGAAACUGAUAGUCUUGACUUUUUAAUCAGUCCCUCUGUUGUGGUUUUGCUCUCUUCAUGCCAAGACUCUCUACAGUUUGCUAUUUCAUUUUAUUUAUAUAUUUUCUGGCUGUGCCCACAGCCUACAUAAGUUCCCAGGCCAGGGAUCAAACCACAGCAGUGACAAUGCUGGAUCCUUAACCGCUAGGCCACCAGGGGACACCUACAGUUUGCUAUUUUAGAAUUUACCUUGUUUGACUUGAUGUUUCCCUUUCAGCAAUAACCCAUAGAAAGAAGGGAAGUCAAAAUGAACUGCAAAACUUUGCAAAGAAAAUGCUAAGACAUUAGGUUUAGCCUUUCUAUUGUCCAACAUUGUUUAUAACUUGACUUCCUGAUAGCAAACCAAACAUUUAUGAAGGAGUUCUAGGUCAACUUCUACAACUUUCAAACUAAUCCACACAGACACAUUAACUUAAAAUUACAGAUGUUCUUGGGGCUGGGAAGUUGGCCCCUUAUAUUAAUUGAAUAUUUCUGCAAGCAUAUUCAGAAUUUUUUAUCCAUUUUAUACUGAUGAGAAAUAUAAAAUGUAUCAUCUAGUGGCACAAUGUUUGCCUCAUGAAAAUUCACUUCUAAUAAUCUUAAUUCUUAAAGUUAGUAUGAAGUUUCAAUCAACAUUUAGAUAAUAUUUAUUGAGCACCUAUUACGUCUAGGCUACAGUGGUAAGCAAGAUAGACAAGGCCCAAACCUUAUGAUGCUUAUGUUCCAGUGAGGCAGAUACAUGAUAAACAUGAAAGUACAAAAAUUACAGGCAUUUAUAAUGGUUAUGAAGAAAUAAACAGAGUUUUUUAAAAAAUGAAUAGCUAGAGAAGCCCACUUCGGAUACUAUAGCUAGAGGAAGCUUUCCUGAGGAGAUAAAAUAUUUAUCAGUGAGAAUUUCAUACAGUGAGAAUCAACAGUCAUGGGAAAAGUUGGGCAAAUUAUUUCAGGCAGAGAGGAUAGCCAAGUCCAGAGGUCAUGGAGACAAAGGCUUGAGGAUCAACAGAAGGCAAGGGUUUCUGGGACAACAGGGGUGGGGGAUGAAGGGAUAGACUGGACAGAUCAUGCAGGGUCUUGUAGAAUUUUACUCCAAGAUGAUACAAAAUGUAACUUAUUGGGAAGUAUUCCACUUGUCAGUAUUGAGAGUCCCUUGAUAUGGUUCACAUUUAAAUAAAAAACCCACAGGAGUGAGGUAGACUCAGUAUCAUACACUGGCUGAUCAGCUUGGAGAGAUGAUCAGUUUGGAGAAGAAGAGUCAAGGAUGAUACUUCAAAGCUCAUGGGUUUUACAUUAAAUUUAAGAAAAAGUGGAUGAAAUUAUAAGGUAAUUUUGGUUGACAAGCAAGAAAUGAGAGCAUAUUGGACCAGGGUGGUUUUGGUGGACAGGGAGCAAAGUGGAGACAUUCAUUAAGUUUAUUAGUUCUUUAGGGUUGCUCUUAAUCUGUAUGACCUUAGGAUGAUCCUGGUAUAUCAGUAAAACAAAACAAAACAAACAAAAACAAAUCCAGCCAGAAUGUCCAUCAUCAAAAAGUCUACAAAUAAAUGCUGGAGAGGGUGUGCAGAAGAGGGAACCCUCCUACUCUGUUGAUGGGAAUGUACAUUGGUGCAACCACUAUGGAAAACAGUAUGGAGGGUCUUCAAAAAACUAAAAACAGAACUACCAUAUGAUCCAGCAAUCCCACCCAUGGGCAUCUAUCCAGAGAAAACCAUAAUUUGAAAAGAUACAUGUACUCAGUGUUCAUUGCAGCAUUAUUUACAAUAGCCAAGACAUGGAAGCAACCUAAAUGUCCAUCAGCAGAGGAAUGUAUAAACAAGAUGUGGUACAUAUAUACAAUGGAAUAUCACUCGGUCAUAAAAAGAAUGAAAUAAUGCCAUUUGCAACAACAUGGAUGGACCCAGAAACUAUCUUACUAAGUGGUUAGUCACACAAAGACAAACAUCAUGAUAUCAUCUAUAUGUGGAAUCUAAAGAAAAAAAAGGAUAUAAAUGAACUUUUUUGCAGAACAGAAAUAAACUAACAGACUUUGAAAAACUUAGGAUUACCAAAGCGGACAGGUGGAGGGGUGGGAGGGAUGGACUGGGAAUUUGGGACUGGCAUGUGCACACUGAGGUAUAUGGAAUGAUUGGCCAACAGAGACCUGCUGUAUAGCAGAGAACUCUCCUUAGUAUUCUGUGAUAAUCUAUGUGAGAAAAGAUUCUGAGAGAGAAUGCAUAUGUGUGUAUGUAUAACUGGGCCACCUUAUUGUACAGCAGAAAUUAUCACAACCCUUUGAAUUAACUACACUUCAACAAAACUUUUUUAAAAAGUAAUGCUUCUCAAAAUUUUCAUUUCAAAAACGUGGUUUAUGGAGUUCCUGUCAUGGCGCAGUGGAGAUGAAUCUGACUAGGAACCGUGAGGUUGUGGGUUCGGUCCCUGGCCUCGCUCAGUGGGUUAAGGAUACGGCAUUGCUGUGAGCUGUGGUGUAGGUCACAGAUGCGGCUCGGAUCUGGCAUUGCUGUGGCUGUGGCUGUGGCUGGCAGCUACAGCUCCAAUUGGACCCCUAGCCUGGGAACCUCCAUAUGCCAUGGUGCAAAUGAUGAUAAGCUACUCAAAUAGAAAGCAUUAGUAUUUUUCUAUCUUCAUCAGCUUCUGUUUCAUCAAAUUCAAAGAUGUCAUUUACAUAUUCAUUUAUAUAUCUCAGUGAAGUAAGCCUAGAAUACUCCCACCCCGAUAUUAAAAAAUGAUGCCAGUAACCUACAAUCAGCGGAGAAUGAGCUUGAGAGGUUUUUCCAUUCUUGGAAUUGUGUCGGUGGUCACAUAACCACAAUCUCUGUUUGUCCCUAUUCACCUUGUGACCAAGGACACACAUUUUUCAAAUAGUUGGCAGUGAGAAAUCCGAGUCUAAAAUUAUUCUAAUGAAGAAGUUUUCAGAAUGUGAUCCGAGGAACCAGGGGGUCUGUUGAGACUCCUUCAAGGAGUUCAUAGGAUCUUCCUUUUUCAAGUACAUAUCUGCAUAAUGCUGGAUAUUCUUCAUAUUCUCCAACUGACACAACAUAUUGUUGACAGAUGGAACGCAGAAGCAGAUAAUAUAGCAUUCAUCCAUUAAGUCAGGCAUUAGACAGUUUGCAAAACUAUAAAG